GUGCAACUAAAAUCACUGGAGAUCUCCAUCGGCCCAUCGCCCAUCGUUAGAAAAAGAAAAAAGAAAAAACUCAACUCGCUCAUGGCGGUGGUCUGCAACUCCGUGGCCGCCGCCGUCGCGCCAUAGAUCAGGACGAGGAGGGCGCGGGCGAGGCGAUGGGCCAUCCAGGCGGAAGAAGAGGAUGGCAGCGGCAGAGGGGAAGGAGAGAAGGCCCGGACGGCGGCGUACGGAGGAGAGAACGUGGGUCCAUCGCGCCGACGAGGAGGAGAAGCAACGACGCCGCGGCGGGCGCGAGGUGACCGGCGAGGCGAGGCGGCGGCGCGGCGGUGGUCACUGAUCGGGCGAGCAAGACGAGAGAGACUGCUUGGGACCUCUGAUUAAUGGUAUUUUUUUUUCCUUUCAUUUUCAUCCCAACUAUUUUUUUUUCUUAUCAUAUAUGCUCCAUUAUUACAUAAAAGUAUUUAUAAGAAUAAUCUUGGAUUCUAAGUUCUAAUUUGUAUUUCAAGGAAUUAUGAAGUUUUAGCAUUUCAAGUUGGAUCAUUACCAUAUCUACUAAAUUUCGUAAUUUACAUGUAGGCAUACAGAGGAGCUUAACCAGGUUUACUGCCCAUUACUAAUUAUUUUUCUUCCAACUUGAGGUAUAAUCCUGCACCGGACAAGUAUAGGUAGCUAAAUGCCACGAACAAGACUUAUUAGCGAUGCAUCAACCAUAUGACCUAGAUUACCUACUCAUUUACAUGUAGUAUGUAUCACAAAAAUAAAUGUUUAUGAGUGAUGAUCGUGUCUUCUUCCUUCAUGCUACCAAUUGUGUAGCUAAGAGGCGCAAACUCUGUUAUGUAAAACAACAAUUUCUAGCUUCUCACUUGGGGGGUUCAAACUUGCAAAUUGCAAGCUGAUAAGCCAUUCGUGGGCAUCAUGUUAGAUUGUUUUACACAAAUUAAGUUAUUGUAUCAUAAUAAGAGCCCGUUUGGUACAGCUCCAGCUUCCAACUUCAAUUUACCUGGAGCCGGAGUUGUGCCAAACGGUACAGAUUCUACUUUUUUUUACGGAGCUGCUCCUAAAAAAUAAACUACAAUGGUCGAGCUGGGUUUUUGCUGCUCCACAGCUUCAC
rnacentral:lncRNA from 1 species